GUAAUAGUUAUGUUCUUGAAACCCAAAGGAUUUGGCGGUAUUUUAUUCUUUUUAGAGGAACCUGUCCCGUGAUCGAUAAUCCACGAGUUUAUUUACUUAUUUUUGUUUACAGUUUGUAUACCUCCGUCAUCAGAGUAUCUUUUUAGAGUGAAUACUCAUACUAUAAGAAAUAUAUUAUGUCAGGUCAAGGUGCAAUUUAUGAAUAAGUGGAGGUGGGUUACAAUGAAUAUAUUCAUACGGAAUAUAGAAUUUAUAUUUUAUAUGAAGGUGGAUUUAAAAGUAAAAUUAAUUUUUCUAUUAAUUUGAUUUUAGCUCUGAAAUAUGCACACAUCGCCCG
rnacentral:rRNA from 2 species